UUAUUAGAAACCAAAUUAGAGGUAUAUUAUUGUUAAUAAUAAAAUUGAUUUUUAUAAAUCCUAAUAAA
rnacentral:tRNA from 1 species